GGGAGAGAGCUAAGGGAAACCCUAGUUCUUCAAAUCUCUACAAAAUUGAAGGAGUAAAAGGCCAGAUUUUCAAUGCAUGAGUUAGGAAUCAUGAUCCCUUAAGUGUUAUAAGUAUCAUGCACGAAUAAGGAAGAAGGCACGAGUCAUUCUAAAACUCCAGAAACGCAAGAUCGCUGUAAAUCCCACUCAUGAUGAUGCGAGCUCGGAUCGAACACACCCCACUACAUCGCCUUUUAUGCACUUCCGGUUAAGGUCGCCUUUUGUAAAUGGGUCAAAACUCUUUCAUAAUAUAAAUGUUAAACUUAUGUCUACGAUGUUUCGUAAGUAAGUUAGGAUUUUCAAUUCCUAUUUUGGUAGUUCGGUCAAAACACUUGUGAUGAAAUUUUGUAUGGUUACAACCUUUAUGUCUUUUGAAACGUGUCGUAGAAUUAGUUUGAAUGAUGAUUGUUAAAAACAGGGAAUU